GCCAAGUGUCUCCUGGAAGUCAGAACUUUGCAUCUAAGCAGCACUGCUCUAGACCAAGGAAAUAUCUACUAUGCCUACCUUCUCCCAGCUGAAAGCUAAGGCUUGAAGGGACUCAUAGGGGAACCAUAACUCAGAAGCCCAUUACCUCCAACUGAGUCCCGUGAGGUCAGCUCUUUGGAGUCAGAGUAUGGCUUCCAAGAGCUUAACUGUGAAAUGUGAGGGCAAACUCUCACAGUGUGUUUAGCCUACACAAGCUCUCGCUGAUUGUCAAGGACUGAAAAAAAAAAUGCACAUGAAGACAAAAGCUAGCACUCUUCAGAACCACAAGAAGGAACCCAGUGAUGUUGACUUCAUGAGACAAGAGAAGAGGAGGAUUUUCUGCCUUUGGACAUGAGGUUAGAUACACAGAGAUGCUGAGGAUGACCUGAGGACCUCAGAAGCAGGCCAUUGAGAGUGACGACCUGCUACUUCUGGAAUCAACCAGGAUUACCAACAAAUAGGAAGGUCUCAGCCAUAAAAUUAAAGCUUUA